UAACAUCUCAAGGGCUAAUGUUUGUGAUGGGGCAGUCAGAGGUUUCAAGCGUACAACAUAUUCUGAAACCUGUGACAUGCUGGUGAAAUUUACUGAUGAUACUGGUGUUCUGGAAGAGGGAAUUGACACUGGUGGUCCAAGACGAGAGUUUUUAACUCUACUGAUGAAACACCUAAAAGACCGGCCCAUUUUUGAUGGACCAGAAGGACAUCGGUUCUUGGUCUACAAUGCAAAGGAUUGAGAAUGCUGCUUCAUUGGAUGCUCUGCAAGAAUGUAUGAUGAGACACAGCACAAUGUUACAGACAGCAGGUUGUCUGAGACAUGUGGCUACUGUGGAAGAAAAGAAAGAAAUCGUGUCAGACUACCUCCAAUGGUAUAUCAUUGACCGCAACUCAUCUGUAAUUGACAGAUUCAGAGAUGGUCUUUCAACCCUGGAGUUUUUGACUGCACUACAGCAACACCCUACUUUGCUGGCCCCUGUCAUGUGCCACUCU